rnacentral:ncRNA from 1 species
UCCAUCCAGGUCUGUGGUUGCGGGGCGUAGCCCCUAGUCCAUGGCAGACGAGGCCAAAGGGAUCCACGUAAGCUCGGGCGUGCGCGGCCGAGCGAGCAUGGCUCGUCCUAGAAGUCAGUCGCACCGCCCGUAAUCCUUCGAGGCAUCCGGCCUCCCGGGCGAGAGGGCCAACAGUGGGGGGCCGAGCAGCCCCGAAGCGACGGCCCCGGUGCGCGAGUGUGGGGUCAAAUACCAGGUCAGCUGGGUGGG